rnacentral:rRNA from 1 species
CGAAAGCCUGACGGAGCAAUACCGCGUGAGGGAGGAAGGCUCUUGGGUUGUAAACCUCUUUUCUCAGGGAAGAAAAAAUGACGGUACCUGAGGAAUCAGCAUCGGCUAACUCCGUGCAGCAGCCGCGGUAAUACGGAGGAUGCAAGCGUUAUCCGGAAUGAUUGGGCGUAAAGCGUCCGCAGGUGGCAUUGAAAGUCUGCUGUCAAAGAGUCUGGCUCAACCAGAUAAAGGCAGUGGAAACUACAAAGCUAGAGUACGUUCGGGGCAGAGGGAAUUCCUGGUGUAGCGGUGAAAUGCGUAGAGAUCAGGAAGAACACCGGUGGCGAAAGCGCUCUGCUAGGCCGUAACUGACACUGAGGGACGAAAGCUAGGGGAGCGAAUGGGAUUAGAUACCCCAGUAGUCCUAGCCGUAAACGAUGGAUACUAGGUGUUGCUUGUAUCGACCCGAGCAGUACCGUAGCUAACGCGUUAAGUAUCCCGCCUGGGGAGUACGCAGGCAACUGUGAAACUCAAAGGAAUUGACGGGGGCCCGCACAAGCGGUGGAGUAUGUGGUUUAAUUCGAUGCAACGCGAAGAACCUUACCAGGGCUUGACAUGUCGCGAAUCCUUGUGAAAGCAGGGAGUGCCUUCGGGAGCGCGAACACAGGUGGUGCAUGGCUGUCGUCAGCUCGUGUCGUGAGAUGUUGGGUUAAGUCCCGCAACGAGCGCAACCCUCGUUUUUAGUUGCCAUCAUUAAGUUGGGCACUCUAGAGAGACUGCCGGUGACAAACCGGAGGAAGGUGGGGAUGACGUCAAGUCAGCAUGUCCCUUACGUCCUGGGCUACACACGUACUACAAUGCUACGGACAGAGGGCAGCUAACCAGCGAUGGCAAGCUAAUCCCGGAAAUCGUAGCUCAGUUCAGAUCGCAGGCUGCAACUCGCCUGCGUGAAGUUGGAAUCGCUAGUAAUCGCAGGUCAGCAUACUGCAGUGAAUUCGUUCCCGGGCCUUGUACACACCGCCCGUCACACCAUGGAAGCUGGUAGUGCCCGAAGUCAUUACCCCAACCUUUCGGGGAGGGGGAUGCCUAAGGCAGGA